rnacentral:rRNA from 1 species
GACGAACGCUGGCGGCGUGCUUAACACAUGCAAGUCGAACGGAAAGGCCCUGCUUUUGUGGGGUGCUCGAGUGGCGAACGGGUGAGUAACACGUGAGUAACCUGCCCUUGACUUUGGGAUAACUUCAGGAAACUGGGGCUAAUACCGGAUAGGAGCUCCUGCUGCAUGGUGGGGGUUGGAAAGUUUCGGCGGUUGGGGAUGGACUCGCGGCUUAUCAGCUUGUUGGUGGGGUAGUGGCUUACCAAGGCUUUGACGGGUAGCCGGCCUGAGAGGGUGACCGGCCACAUGGGGACUGGGAUACGGCCCAGACUCCUAGGGGGGGGAGGGGGGGGGAAUAUUGCACAAUGGGCGGAAGCCUGAUGCAGCAACCCCGGGUGGGGGAGGGCGGCCUUCGGGUUGUAAACCGCUUUCGCCUGUGACGAAGGGGGAGGGACGGUAAUGGGAAAAGAAGCACCGGCUAACUACGU